rnacentral:rRNA from 1 species
UUCCGGUUGAUCCUGCCGGACCUGACUGCUAUCGGAUUGAUACUAAGCCAUGCGAGUCAUUGUAGCAAUACAAGGCAGACGGCUCAGUAACGCGUAGUCAACCUAACCUAUGGAUGGGAAUAACCUCGGGAAACUGAGAAUAAUGCCCAAUAGAACACUAUGCCUGGAAUGGUUUGUGUUCCAAAUGAUUUAUCGCCGUAGGAUGGGACUGCGGCCUAUCAGUUUGUUGGUGAGGUAAUGGCCCACCAAGACUAUUACAGGUACGGGCUUUGAGAGGAGUAGCCCGGAGAUGGGUACUGAGACACGGACCCAGGCCCUAUGGGGCGCAGCAGGCGAGAAAACUUUGCAAUGUGCGAAAGCACGACAAGGUUAAUCCGAGUGAUUUGUGCUAAGCGAAUCUUUUGUUAGUCCUAGAAACACUAACGAAUAAGGGGUGGGCAAGUUCUGGUGUCAGCCGCCGCGGUAAAACCAGCACCUCAAGUGGUCAGGAUGAUUAUUGGGCCUAAAGCAUCCGUAGCCGGCUCUGUAAGUUUUCGGUUAAAUCUGUAUGCUCAACAUACAGGCUGCCGGGAAUACUGCAGAGCUAGGGAGUGGGAGAGGUAGACGGUACUCGGUAGGAAGGGGUAAAAUCCUUUGAUCUAUUGAUGACCACCUGUGGCGAAGGCGGUCUACCAGAACACGUCCGACGGUGAGGGAUGAAAGCUGGGGGAGCAAACCGGAUUAGAUACCCGGGUAGUCCCAGCUGUAAACUAUGCAAACUCAGUGAUGCAUUGGCUUGUGGCCAAUGCAGUGCUGCAGGGAAGCCGUUAAGU